GGUUAAGCGACUAAGCGUACACGGUGGAUGCCCUGGCAGUCAGAGGCGAUGAAGGACGUGCUAAUCUGCGAUAAGCGUCGGUAAGGUGAUAUGAACCGUUAUAACCGGCGAUUUCCGAAUGGGGAAACCCAGUGUGAUUCGUCACACUAUCAUUAACUGAAUCCAUAGGUUAAUGAGGCGAACCGGGGGAACUGAAACAUCUAAGUACCCCGAGGAAAAGAAAUCAACCGAGAUUCCCCCAGUAGCGGCGAGCGAACGGGGAGCAGCCCAGAGCCUGAAUCAGUGUGUGUGUUAGUGGAAGCGUCUGGAAAGGCGCGCGAUACAGGGUGACAGCCCCGUACACAAAAAUGCACAUGCUGUGAGCUCGAUGAGUAGGGCGGGACACGUGGUAUCCUGUCUGAAUAUGGGGGGACCAUCCUCCAAGGCUAAAUACUCCUGACUGACCGAUAGUGAACCAGUACCGUGAGGGAAAGGCGAAAAGAACCCCGGCGAGGGGAGUGAAAAAGAACCUGAAACCGUGUACGUACAAGCAGUGGGAGCACGCUUCGGCGUGUGACUGCGUACCUUUUGUAUAAUGGGUCAGCGACUUAUAUUCUGUAGCAAGGUUAACCGAAUAGGGGAGCCGAAGGGAAACCGAGUCUUAACUGGGCGUUAAGUUGCAGGGUAUAGACCCGAAACCCGGUGAUCUAGCCAUGGGCAGGUUGAAGGUUGGGUAACACUAACUGGAGGACCGAACCGACUAAUGUUGAAAAAUUAGCGGAUGACUUGUGGCUGGGGGUGAAAGGCCAAUCAAACCGGGAGAUAGCUGGUUCUCCCCGAAAGCUAUUUAGGUAGCGCCUCGUGAAUUCAUCUCCGGGGGUAGAGCACUGUUUCGGCAAGGGGGUCAUCCCGACUUACCAACCCGAUGCAAACUGCGAAUACCGGAGAAUGUUAUCACGGGAGACACACGGCGGGUGCUAACGUCCGUCGUGAAGAGGGAAACAACCCAGACCGCCAGCUAAGGUCCCAAAGUCAUGGUUAAGUGGGAAACGAUGUGGGAAGGCCCAGACAGCCAGGAUGUUGGCUUAGAAGCAGCCAUCAUUUAAAGAAAGCGUAAUAGCUCACUGGUCGAGUCGGCCUGCGCGGAAGAUGUAACGGGGCUAAACCAUGCACCGAAGCUGCGGCAGCGACGCUGAUGCGUUGUUGGGUAGGGGAGCGUUCUGUAAGCCUGCGAAGGUGUGCUGUGAGGCAUGCUGGAGGUAUCAGAAGUGCGAAUGCUGACAUAAGUAACGAUAAAGCGGGUGAAAAGCCCGCUCGCCGGAAGACCAAGGGUUCCUGUCCAACGUUAAUCGGGGCAGGGUGAGUCGACCCCUAAGGCGAGGCCGAAAGGCGUAGUCGAUGGGAAACAGGUUAAUAUUCCUGUACUUGGUGUUACUGCGAAGGGGGGACGGAGAAGGCUAUGUUGGCCGGGCGACGGUUGUCCCGGUUUAAGCGUGUAGGCUGGUUUUCCAGGCAAAUCCGGAAAAUCAAGGCUGAGGCGUGAUGACGAGGCACUACGGUGCUGAAGCAACAAAUGCCCUGCUUCCAGGAAAAGCCUCUAAGCAUCAGGUAACAUCAAAUCGUACCCCAAACCGACACAGGUGGUCAGGUAGAGAAUACCAAGGCGCUUGAGAGAACUCGGGUGAAGGAACUAGGCAAAAUGGUGCCGUAACUUCGGGAGAAGGCACGCUGAUAUGUAGGUGAGGUCCCUCGCGGAUGGAGCUGAAAUCAGUCGAAGAUACCAGCUGGCUGCAACUGUUUAUUAAAAACACAGCACUGUGCAAACACGAAAGUGGACGUAUACGGUGUGACGCCUGCCCGGUGCCGGAAGGUUAAUUGAUGGGGUUAGCGCAAGCGAAGCUCUUGAUCGAAGCCCCGGUAAACGGCGGCCGUAACUAUAACGGUCCUAAGGUAGCGAAAUUCCUUGUCGGGUAAGUUCCGACCUGCACGAAUGGCGUAAUGAUGGCCAGGCUGUCUCCACCCGAGACUCAGUGAAAUUGAACUCGCUGUGAAGAUGCAGUGUACCCGCGGCAAGACGGAAAGACCCCGUGAACCUUUACUAUAGCUUGACACUGAACAUUGAGCCUUGAUGUGUAGGAUAGGUGGGAGGCUUUGAAGUGUGGACGCCAGUCUGCAUGGAGCCGACCUUGAAAUACCACCCUUUAAUGUUUGAUGUUCUAACGUUGACCCGUAAUCCGGGUUGCGGACAGUGUCUGGUGGGUAGUUUGACUGGGGCGGUCUCCUCCUAAAGAGUAACGGAGGAGCACGAAGGUUGGCUAAUCCUGGUCGGACAUCAGGAGGUUAGUGCAAUGGCAUAAGCCAGCUUGACUGCGAGCGUGACGGCGCGAGCAGGUGCGAAAGCAGGUCAUAGUGAUCCGGUGGUUCUGAAUGGAAGGGCCAUCGCUCAACGGAUAAAAGGUACUCCGGGGAUAACAGGCUGAUACCGCCCAAGAGUUCAUAUCGACGGCGGUGUUUGGCACCUCGAUGUCGGCUCAUCACAUCCUGGGGCUGAAGUAGGUCCCAAGGGUAUGGCUGUUCGCCAUUUAAAGUGGUACGCGAGCUGGGUUUAGAACGUCGUGAGACAGUUCGGUCCCUAUCUGCCGUGGGCGCUGGAGAACUGAGGGGGGCUGCUCCUAGUACGAGAGGACCGGAGUGGACGCAUCACUGGUGUUCGGGUUGUCAUGCCAAUGGCACUGCCCGGUAGCUAAAUGCGGAAGAGAUAAGUGCUGAAAGCAUCUAAGCACGAAACUUGCCCCGAGAUGAGUUCUCCCUGACUCCUUGAGAGUCCUGAAGGAACGUUGAAGACGACGACGUUGAUAGGCCGGGUGUGUAAGCGCAGCGAUGCGUUGAGCUAACCGGUACUAAUGAACCGUGAGGCUUAACCUU
rnacentral:rRNA from 1 species